rnacentral:misc_RNA from 1 species
UUUUUUUCCCCCUUUAACAGGGACAUCUAGAAAUUGCAGAAUAGUAACUAGAUAUCAUAUAAAAGAUAAACAUCUUUUCCGUCUACAAGGUUACAAGACAGCUCUCACAAGAAGUAAAUUUCUGACUCAUCUUUGUACUUUUCACCACAAAUAUAUUCAUCAAAAUUUGAAAAUUCAGUCAAUCUUAAGAAACAAAAAUAAAUAAGAUUAAUUUUUUCCGUGAUGGGAAAAUAUCAGCAGUCUGACUCCAAAGAGCAAACACAAGUUUCUGAUCAAAUUAUGCAUUCAUUUUUCUCACUUGAAG